rnacentral:misc_RNA from 1 species
GAUGAAGAACGCAGCGAAAUGCGAUAAGUAGUGUGAAUUGCAGAAUUCAGUGAAUCAUCGAAUCUUUGAACGCACAUUGCGCCCCUUGGUAUUCCAUGGGGCAUGCCUGUUCGAGCGUCAUUUGUACCCUCAAGCUUUGCUUGGUGUUGGGUGUUUGUCCUUCCCUUUGCGUUUGGACUCGCCUGAAAGCAAUUGGCAGCCGGCGUAUUGGCCUUGGAGCGCAGCACAUCUCGCGCUUUGCACUCAUAACGACGACGUCCAAAAGUACAUUUUUACACUCUUGACCUCGGAUCAGGUAGGGAUACCCGCUGAACUUAAGCAUAUCAAUAAGCGGAGGA